GUCAGACCAAGGGUGAAGCUAGCUCAGUAUCCUGUCAUCUGGCAGAGGCCAAUGCCAGGUGCAUCAGAGAGAUGAACAGAUCAGAUAGGCCUCACCAGAUUGCAUGGAGAGUCUUUUGUUAGAACAGCAAUCACUAAUAAUCCAGUCUACGUGCUGAGACCUGUUGUGGGACAAUGUUUCUGUGGAAGAAACUGCCUAGUCUACACUACCACAUCACAGGACAUUCCAAUUUCUAUGACACUGCAAAGAAAGUACAAGCGCUGCAGAAAUAUUUUAGGAUGGCAUGGAAACAGGAUAAAAUUAACUCCGGCAUAUCUCCUCUGUAAUAAAUGGACCACAGAGUAAUUUGGCUCAUCCAGUAGGAGCAAGCUGACUCCAGAGGCUAAGAUGCCAUUCCAUUCUGUUUUUAUUGUA